UUACAAUGGAGAGUUUGAUCCUGGCUCAGGAUGAACGCUAGCUACAGGCUUAACACAUGCAAGUCGAGGGGAAACGAUAGAGAAAGCUUGCUUUUUCUAGGCGUCGACCGGCGCACGGGUGAGUAACGCGUAUCCAACCUGCCCAUCACUUGGGGAUAACCUUGCGAAAGUAAGACUAAUACCCAAUGACGUCUCUAGAAGACAUCUGAAAGAGAUUAAAGAUUUAUCGGUGAUGGAUGGGGAUGCGUCUGAUUAGCUUGUUGGCGGGGUAACGGCCCACCAAGGCGACGAUCAGUAGGGGUUCUGAGAGGAAGGUCCCCCACAUUGGAACUGAGACACGGUCCAAACUCCUACGGGAGGCAGCAGUGAGGAAUAUUGGUCAAUGG
rnacentral:rRNA from 1 species